rnacentral:lncRNA from 1 species
AAGAGCAUUAGUAAGUCCAGCAGAAAUAUCAUAAAUAAUUAUCUAAACAUAAGAACCAUAAAUAAAAUAACAUACAAUAAUAUCAUAUAGUAACUACAAUAAAUAACUAUCAUAAGGGAGACACAAUCCAAAACACAAAUCAUCUAUGAAUACCCCUGCCAAGCCUCACUCAACCCCGGGUGAGUAGUACGAAAAACUCUAGGGGCCUCUAUCCUACAACCCUGAUAAUAGAUCUCCAGACUUUCCCAUCAAGGGCCAUGUGCAUGCAAUAAUAUCAGACAGUAACUACCAUAAAUAACUACCAUAAGG